rnacentral:rRNA from 1 species
AUAGCUAUCCCGAGACGGGAAGAUAGUGGCGAAAUACUUUUCGCGCGGGUUGAUAGCUGGUUGCCCUAGAAAUACAUAUAAGUGUAGCUCUAUGGAGGACACACUCUAAUGGUAAGGGUUUUCUAGGAAGCUAAAUAAGAAAUAUUAGUUUGGUGGGUUUGAAGUGAAGUGUUUUUAAAAGAAGUGAGGUUUUUCAGGAUAAGCUGAGAGACCUAGUGUAAAAGGAAGUUGUUGAAGAGUGGGGGUUUAAGUGGGCUUGAAGAAGCUAUCUUUUUGGAGUGGGUUAAAUCUCAGAGUUUCCCUAGAUUUAAAUAGAAGUUUUAAUUCCUUUUUGGUUUAUGGGGCCUUUUUACUGGACGAGUGUAGUAAAAGUGAUAAUGUAGGGAUGAGUAGUCGGAGUGGUGUAGUUGUUUUUAAUUCAGGUAGUAAAGCAAUGUGGAGUAGCAACUAUAUUGGUAAACAAAGCUAAAGGAACUCGGCAAAAAAAGGGACCGCCUGUUUAACAAAAACAUGGCUUUCUGAGUAACAUGGGGGGUCGUGCCUUCCCGGUGAGUUUUCG